rnacentral:lncRNA from 1 species
CUGUCUUCUGUCAAGGAUGCUCCUGCCAGCACGGCCUCAAGGUAAGGAUCUUUCUCUUACUCGUUGUCACAGAGUUGGGACAGAAACCUUACAGGCAUUAAAAGAGCACAACUGUGGAUUCUGAAGGAAUUUGAGGGGAAGACAAGAUAUGGCAACAGUUGAAGAGAGGAAAUGCCUAGCAGAGAAUUUGGUAACUUCUGGGGAGCCAAUCUGAAAUAUUCAUAGAAAAUGUCCUUAUGAAUGAGGCUUUUACAAAAGAGGAACAUCAGGAAAAAUUUAUAUUGUGGAUUGCUCAGUAUUCAUGUGUGUGUGUGUGUGUGUGUGUGCAUGCCUGUGCAUGUGUGCUCAUAUGUGUACAUGUGUAAGCCCGUGGAACUCAACCUCUGGGCCUCAAACAGGCUCUACCUCUGAUAUAUACCAGAUCUAUCCAGGGAGGAGUUGGCACCGGCACUUAUAGAAUGGCAGGCUAUGCUAGCGUGAUCCCCGGAUUUUUCCUACUUGGUACUCAUGGGCAUCUGCUCGCACAUUCAGCUCCUGGCGUGGAGGGGCCCAGGACGGGCUGAGCCAGACUUAGUAUCACAUGGGGGAGAAGAUCUUUCCAAAGUAUCCCACCUGAAUUCUCAAUGACAGGCCCCAUACAAAGCAUCAGGUGGCGUCUCUGAUAACAGGGAUCUGUCGGUGACAUUGGGUACACACCAGGCUUUGUAAGUGACAGUGGUGACUUUCCUGUGUUCUCUUCUGGUGGGGAACUGCAGGGUGUUUCUUCUUGACCCCUUGCCUCAUCGACACACAUUCAAACAAGACCAAGAAGACAUUAAAACUCUAAAGUUAAAUUAAUAGAGAAGAUU